GGGACCCCAUGAUGUCCAGCACUGUGCUCCAAUUGCCCCUGAGGACACAGUGGGCCGCCCCCCGGGACCUUUGACACCCAGGGGCCUGAGGGACCC